CAACAACCCCAUGAGCCUUGGGGUAGCUACUUCUAUUACCCACAUUUUCAGCAGAGGUUCAGUGAAGUAAAGAGUUUCCUGCUUAUUCCACCAUUAAAAUUCCAGUAAAAAGCUGAAAAAUUGGGCAUUCUAGUCAUUAUCCUGAUCAAGAAAGGUUGUAAAUGGGGAAUGGAGGCCAGGAAAAUACUGUUGAAAGUUUUCAGUUUUGCACGACUUUGAAACAUGGGCACAAUUUGUACCAUAGACUCAAUAACUAGCAUAGCUAUUGUUUUUCUUCAAUUAUCUGACUUACAUAUUUUUCAUGUUUUGACAUGUUGAAAUCUGGGUAUUUUCUGAAAGGC
ensembl:lncRNA